rnacentral:lncRNA from 1 species
UCUCUCUCUCUCUCUCUCUCUCUCUCUCUCUCUCUCUCUCUCUCUCUCUCUCUCUCUCUCUCUCACCCAAGCAAGGCUCUGAGCCUCUCAAAGUCUCAAUCUCUUUGAACAUCAAUCGAAUCUUUCGAACCAUUGCUACUGAGGAUCGAGGACUAAGUUUGAUCUUUGAGGGAGAAGAAGGCAAAGUUUGAAUCUGGUAGGUGCAGACUGCAGACCAUGCAGACCCAAAAUCUGGUGUCGUUCCUAAUCUCAACAAUUCAAGGAAUCAACUAAUCAAUGCCUCAUUAAACCUGGAGCAACAUAGGAGCACGGCAGUUGGUCGGUUUGGAGCAAGAUGUCAGUUUGUUUUCCAAGUUAGAUGAUGAAAAUGUUAUGUAUAUUAGUAUAUAUAUGUUAUAUGCUCUGUGCACUUUUGUUUGUAAGAAUUAGUGAUUUGUGAAUUGUUAUAUGUUUACACUUUUACUGUUAUAUGUUUAGCUUUGUGAAUUGUUUCAGCAA